GCGCAGCAGGCGAGAAUCCUCCGCAAUACACGAAAGUGUGACGGGGUUACCCAAAGUGUCCAAAUUUGGACUGUGGUAGGUGAGUAAUGUCCCCUACUAGAAAGGAGAGGGCAAGGCUGGUGCCAGCCGCCGCGGUAAAACCAGCUCUUCAAGUGGUCGGGAUAAUUAUUGGGCUUAAAGUGUCCGUAGCCGGUUUAGUAAGUUCCUGGUAAAAUCGGGUAGCUUAACUAUCUGUAUGCUAGGAAUACUGCUAUACUAGAGGGCGGGAGAGGUCUGAGGUACUACGAGGGGUAGGGGUGAAAUCCUGUAAUCCUUGUAGGACCACCAGUGGCGAAGGCGUCAGACUGGAACGCGCCUGACGGUGAGGGACGAAAGCCGAGGGGAGCGAACCGGAUUAGACUACCCCGGUAGU
rnacentral:rRNA from 1 species